AAAACAUCGCCUCUUGAAAAACAUAAGAGGUCCAGCCUGCCCAGUGACAUCUGUUCAACGGCCGCGGUAUCCUAACCGUGCGAAGGUAGCGUAAUCACUUGUCCUUUAAAUGGGGACUAGUAUGAAUGGCAUCACGAGGGUUAUACUGUCUCCUUUUUCCAAUCAGUUAAACUAAUCUCCCCGUGAAGAAGCGAGGAUACACCUAUAAGACGAGAAGACCCUAUGGAGCUUCAAACAAACAGCAUUUGCUAUAACAUACAUCAAUCUCAGGAAACUAAUCUUUAUUUUAGCAUUCUGCCUGUAAGUUUUAGGUUGGGGUGACCGCGGAGUAAAAAUUAACCUCCACAUUGAAGGGGAUCUUCCCUAAGCAAAAAGUCACAACUUUAAGCAUCAAUAAAUUGACAUCAAUUGACCCAAUAUUUUGAUCAACGAAACAAGUUACCCUAGGGAUAACAGCGCAAUCCACUUCAAGAGCCCUUAUCGACAAGUGGGUUUACGACCUCGAUGUUGGAUCAGGGUAUCCCAGUGGUGCAGCCGCUACUAAAGGUUCGUUUGUUCAACGAUUAAAACCCUA
rnacentral:rRNA from 1 species